rnacentral:rRNA from 1 species
GUAGGUGGCAAGCGUUGUCCGGAAUUAUUGGGGCGUAAAGCGCGCGCAGGCGGUUCGUUUAAGUCUGAUGUGAAAGCCCACGGGCUCAACCGUGGAGGGUCAUUGGAAACUGGAGAACUUGAGUACAGAAGAGGAAAGCGGAAUUCCACGUGUAGCGGUGAAAUGCGUAGAGAUGUGGAGGAACACCAGUGGCGAAGGCGGCUUUCUGGUCUGUAACUGGACGCUGAGGCGCGAAAGCGUGGGGAGCAAACAGGAUUAGAUACCCUGGUAGUCCACGCCGUAAACGAUGAGUGCUAAGUGUUAGGGGGUUUCCGCCCCUUAGUCGCUGCAGCUAACGCAUUAAGCACUCCGCCUGGGGAGUACGGCCGCAAAGGCUG